ensembl:lncRNA
UGACGACCUUUAAGUAGUUGUUUGCUUAGCCAGCUAGCUACUUCAGUUAGCUACAUUUGUGUUGGAAAGUGGGAUGUUUUACUGAUGUUGGUUGACAUGAGAUGACACGUCUUUGGUUUGUCUAUAGACUGUCAACUGCUAUGGUGUUUUUUAGCUACAAGAACAGAGACAUAAGUUGACUGAAGGCUUACUGUAUAUGACCUGUGAUCAUUCUGUCUUUUGGAAAGAGAACUACACAUGCUUUUUCUUGAAGUGUCCCAAUGGCACUAACUGCAAUGAUAUCUCCGUCGAUGACCUGAUAAGGAUACAAGAUUUUGGCAGUAUGUCCAACCGGCCUCACAACCACAGACCAAGUGUAACCAUGCCAGCCCAGGACCUACACAUCUGGAUUCUUCACCUGCGGGAUCGUCUGAGACCAGCCACCCAGACAACUGAUGAAACUGGGUUUGUACAACCA